rnacentral:tRNA from 1 species
GCGGGAAUAGCUCAGCUGGUAGAGCGCAACCUUGCCAAGGUUGAGGUCGCGAGUUCGAACCUCGUUUCCCUUC